rnacentral:rRNA from 1 species
AGUUUGAUCCUGGCUCAAGAUGAACGCUAGCGGCAGGCUUAACACAUGCAAGUCAAAGGGCAACGGGGAGAGUGCUUGCACUCUCUGCCGGCGACUGGCGCACGGGUGAGUAACACUUAUGCAGACACUGCCUUCCACAGGGCGGACAACCUCUCCCAAAGGGAGGCUAAUCCCGCGUAUAUCCCUUGGGGGCAUCCCCGGGGGAGGAAAGGAUUACCGGUGUGCAGGAUGGGCAUGCGGCGCAUUACGCAGUAGGCGGGGUAACGGCCCACCUAACCGACCAUGCGUAUGGGUUCUGAGAGGAAGGCCCCCCACACUGGUACUGAGACACUGACCAGACUCCUACUGGAGGCAGCAGUGAGGAACAUUGGUCAAUGGGCGGGAGCCUGAACCAGCAAACCCGCGUGAAGGAAGAAGGCGCCGAACGUCGUAAACUUCUUUUGUCCGGGAUCAAAGGGCGCCACGUGUGGCGUUGUGAGUGUACCUGUAGAGAAAGCUUCGGCUAACUCCGUGCCAGCAGCCGCGGUAAUACGUAGGGAGCGAGCGUUGUCCGGAUUUAUUGGGUGUAAAGGGCGCGUAGGUGGUCGGUUAAGUCAGGUGUGAAAGCUCGGGGCUCAACCCGGAGGAUCCGCUGGAACUUUGGUGUCAUGAGGCGCAGGAGAAGUAAAGUGGAAUUCGUGGUGUAGCGGUGAAAUGCAUAGAUAUUGGGCGGAACUCCGGUGGCGAAGGCAGCGUUCUGGCGCGUGCCUGACGCUGAGGCGCGAAAGCGUGGGUAUCGAACGGGAUUAGAUACCCCGGUAGUCCACGCAGUAAACGAUGAAUACUGGGUGUCGGACCCAUAGAACGUUUGGGUGCGCGCAGCGAAAGCGAUAAGCAUUCCAAGUGGGGAGUACACCGGCAGUGAUGAGACUCAAAGGAAUCGACGGGGGUUCGCACAAGUGGAGGGAUAUGUGGUUUAAUUAGACGAUAAGUGAGGAACGUGACCCGGGUUCAACAGGGAGUCGACAGGGGCAGAGAUUCCCUCUUCCACGGACGUCUUCCGAGGUGGGGCAUGGUUGUCAGUCAGCUACGUGCCGUGAGGUGUCGGCUUAAGUGCCAUAAGGUGUGCAACACGGGCAGACAGUUGCUAACGGGUAGAGCAGUGGAAUGUGUAGUGAUUGCAGGGGCAAGCCGCGAGGAAGGGGGGGAUGAUGUCAAAUCAGCGCGGCCCUUAGGUCAGGGGUGACACACGUGCUGCAAUGGCGGGGACAGAGGGAUGUGAAGAGGCGACGUGGAGCGAACCCCAAAAACCCCGCCCCAGUUAGGAUUGUAGUAUGCAACCCGAAUACAUGAAGCCGGAAUAGGUAGUAAUCGCGGAUCAGAAUGCAGCGGUGAAUAAGUUCCCGGCUCUAGCACACACCGCCCGUCA